rnacentral:tRNA from 1 species
UCCCAGUUAGCCUAGUGGUAAGGCUUUGGAUCGCCAAUCCGGAUACGGCGGGUUCGAUUCCCACUCUGGGCG